AGGCAGUCUCAGAGUACAAAGAACAUAUUCAGUUUUGUUUGGUUACCUUUAUAUAGGCAAUGAGGGAAGAACACUUAAAUUCCCUGUUGGCAGAUAGUACAGCAGGACAGUUGAAAUUAUCUUUGUGUAUAAAUAUAACCGUAACUAUAACAGCAAAGAUACAACUUAGCAACAAAUGUGGCCGCAAACCUAAUACAUCAAUGGGACUCAUGAGAUAUAUGCGAAAAGCGGGGUGUGGG